CGCUGAUUGUUGGAUUCACAGAGCAGCAGGAGGCCAGUGUGUCAGAACAUCUUGUGAUCAGGAUAAAAGAGUCGAGGCCAAGGAAGCAUCAGGACACAGAUCACUCCGGGCUUCGAAGGCCACUGUGACACCUUGGCUCUGCUCCAAGCCAGAAGGGAUGCUCAAAAAAAUUAAGUACCCAGAUCCAGGUCAUUCAGAAACUGGAAAACUUGGAAUUCAAGCUCAGCCCUGACUACAAACAUAACUACUUGAAGAAGUUGUUAUGUUCACAUCAGCUCUGCAAACUGAAGGACUGAUGCUGAAGCUGAAGCUCCAAUACUUU
ensembl:lncRNA